UAACGAAUCUUCCGCAAUGCACGAAAGUGUGACGGAGCGACGCCGCGUGUGGGACGAAGCCCUUCGGGAUGUAAACCACUGUCAGGGGUUACCAAGUUCUGAGGAGCCCCAGAGGAAGGCACGGCUAACUCUGUGCCAGCAGCCGCGGUAAGACAGAGGUGCCAAGCGUUAGGCGGAAUCACUGGGCUUAAAGCGUGUGUAGGCGGACUGGUAAGUACCUUGUGAAAUCCCACGGCUCAACCGUGGAACUGCUUGGUAUACUGCUUGUCUUGAGCCACUUAGGGGCUGUCGGAACAAACGGUGGAGCGGUGAAAUGCGUAGAUAUCGUUUGGAACGCCAACGGUGAAAACAGACAGCUGGGAGUGUGCUGACGCUGAGACACGAAAGCCAGGGGAGCGAACGGGAUUAGAUACCCCCGUAGUCC
rnacentral:rRNA from 1 species